AAAAUUUUUCGUGAUGAUUGAAUGGAGCAGAAGAGUUCUUGAAGACUAUAUUCAUCACCCAAGGCUGAUAAAUUUCAAU
rfam:Drosophila willistoni strain TSC#14030-0811.24 1099000006224, whole genome shotgun sequence.